rfam:Ictidomys tridecemlineatus contig017673, whole genome shotgun sequence.
GGGGUUGUGGCUCAGUGGUAGAGUGCCCGUCUAGCAUGCGUGAGGCACUGGGUUCGAUUCUCAGCACCA